rnacentral:rRNA from 1 species
AUUGAACGCUGGCGGCAGGCUUAACACAUGCAAGUCGAGCGGGGUGAUGGUGCUUGCACUAUCACCUAGCGGCGGACGGGUGAGUAAUGCUUAGGAAUCUGCCUAUUAGUGGGGGACAACAUCUCGAAAGGGAUGCUAAUACCGCAUACGUCCUACGGGAGAAAGCAGGGGAUCACUUGUGACCUUGCGCUAAUAGAUGAGCCUAAGUCGGAUUAGCUAGUUGGUGGGGUAAAGGCCUACCAAGGCGACGAUCUGUAGCGGGUCUGAGAGGAUGGUCCGACACACUGGGACUGAGACACGGCCCAGACUCCUACGGGAGGCAGCAGUGGGGAAUAUUGGACAAUGGGGGGAACCCUGAUCCAGCCAUGCCGCGUGUGUGAAGAAGGCCUUAUGGUUGUAAAGCACUUUAAGCGAGGAGGAGGCUCUUUUGGUUAAUACCCAAGAUGAGUGGACGUUACUCGCAGAAUAAGCACCGGCUAACUCUGUGCCAGCAGCCGCAGUAA